AUUGAACGCUGGCGGCAUGCCUAACACAUGCAAGUCGAACGGUAACAGGUUAAGCUGACGAGUGGCGAACGGGUGAGUAAUGUAUCGGAACGUGCCCAGUCGUGGGGGAUAACUGCUCGAAAGAGCAGCUAAUACCGCAUACGACCUGAGGGUGAAAGCGGGGGAUCGCAAGACCUCGCGCGAUUGGAGCGGCCGAUAUCAGAUUAGGUAGUUGGUGAGGUAAAGGCUCACCAAGCCGACGAUCUGUAGCUGGCCUGAGAGGACGACCAGCCACACUGGGACUGAGACACGGCCCAGACUCCUACGGGAGGCAGCAGUGGGGAAUUUUGGACAAUGGGCGCAAGCCUGAUCCAGCCAUGCCGCGUGCGGGAAGAAGGCCUUCGGGUUGUAAACCGCUUUUGUCAGGGAAGAAAAGGUUCUGGCUAAUACCUGGGACUCAUGACGGUACCUGAAGAAUAAGCACCGGCUAACUACGUGCCAGCCGCCGCGGUAAGAC
rnacentral:rRNA from 1 species